rnacentral:rRNA from 1 species
AUUGAACGCUCGCGGAAUGCUUUACACAUGCAAGUCGAGCGGCAGCGCGGCCUUCGGGCUGGCGGCGAGCGGCGAACGGGUGAGUAAUGCAUCGGAACAUGCCCAGUCGUGGGGGAUAACACUUCGAAAGAAGUGCUAAUACCGCAUACGUCCUGAGGGGGAAAGCGGGGGAUCGCAAGACCUCGCGCGAUUGGAGUGGCCGAUGUCAGAUUAGCUAGUUGGUGGGGUAAAGGCCUACCAAGGCGACGAUCUGUAGCUGGUCUGAGAGGAUGAUCAGCCACACUGGGACUGAGACACGGCCCAGACUCCUACGGGAGGCAGCAGUGGGGAAUUUUGGACAAUGGGGGCAACCCUGAUCCAGCCAUUCCGCGUGAGUGAAGAAGGCCUUCGGGUUGUAAAGCUCUUUCGGCAGGAACGAAACGGUGGGCUCUAACAUAGUCCGCUAAUGACGGUACCUGAAGAAGAAGCACCGGCUAACUACGUG